AAAACAUUCUGCAAUUUAUUCUGCGUUGACGUGGCUGGAGCUUGGUCUUUCGCUCUCCCCUGGAGACAGCCGGCCUUCCUCCUUUGGGAGAAGACAGCAGAGUCAGUAGCACAGUCCUUCUGUUCUAACCAAAGAACGGAUGUAUGUACUGCAACUGUACCUCUUUGGUGUCCUCCAGCGCUUGCAUGAUCGAUGCGACCACCAGGUUCACCAGCACAAACUGAGCCAUAACCACGAAACUGAUGAGGUACAACGGAGAGACCCAGGAAAGGUAUCUCAUACAGCCGUGCUCAUCAGGAUGACAUUCUCUUAGUGUGUCCUUGAGAGACACAGAGCAAGAUUCAGAAAGGAAGAGGGACUGGCACACAGACUGGAGACAACAUUACAAAAUCAUUCUUACUUCAAAACCACAGAAAUUAUAAUAAACUGACAAUUGGAAACUAAA